UACAGAGGUCUCAAGCGUUGUUCGGAUUCAUUGGGCGUAAAGGGUGCGUAGGCGGCGCGGUAAGUCGGGUGUGAAAUCUCGGGGCUUAACUCCGAAACUGCAUUCGAUACUACCGUGCUUGAGGACUGGAGAGGAGACUGGAAUUUACGGUGUAGAGGUGAAAUUCGUAGAUAUUCGCAAGAACACCAGUGGCGAAGGCGGCUCACUGGCCCGAUACUGACGCUGAGGCACGAAAGCGUGGGGAGCAAACAGG
rnacentral:rRNA from 1 species